GAGUAAUAGUAGUUUAGAAAUACAUAGAGCAGCGAAACAUAAAUUUGACGAAAGAAGACAAUUUUAUGACGCUUGCCCUGAAGACCGGGCCUGGAGCUCGCGAUUAACGGCACCUAGUGGGCAAACAAUGGCGUCCUUGGAAAUUUAUGUCCGUGAUUUCACAGGGAGAAAUUUUACUCAGGGCUGAUAAGGUGUAUAUUUCUUAAAUCAACAGGGCAAACAAUGGCGUCGUUGGAAAUUUAUGUCCGCGAUUUCACAGGGAGAAACUUUCGUUUUGAAGUCAAUCCAGACGACAAACUAUCAACGCUUUUCGAAAAAGUAUCUGAAGCGACAGCAUAUCCUACCCACCAUAUACGUCUGGAGCUUUCAGGGAAAAAGUACUCUGUCAGUGACGAAAAGACAAUCGCUGACCUCAGUAAACAAAGCCACAAAAUGUUACGCAUGUUUAUGUCACUUCCGGGUUUUCACGUGAUUAAAUGAAGCGAAAUAGUUAAUGUAUGUUGAUACUUCCUUAAUAAAUAAUUAUUAAGAUCUUAA